rnacentral:lncRNA from 1 species
AUCCUAGUGGGCGUUAUCUAAUCGAAGAGGAUCGUGCAAUGAAAAUCGAUGUAACACGACGACCGAGUAGGCGAGAAAUCCAGACUACUGAUGAGAUCGGGCCAUCCGCAGAGGAUUUUCCGCGUUUGCAAAUUACACUGGGUGCUGCUACUGCUUCUACUGCUACUACUGCUGCUGCUGCUGCAAUGCGGCUAUCGUGAACUUACGGAAGCCUGGAUAAAGAGG